UACGGAGGAUCCAAGCGUUAUCCGGAAUCAUUGGGUUUAAAGGGUCCGUAGGCGGUUUUGUAAGUCAGUGGUGAAAGCCCAUCGCUCAACGGUGGAACGGCCAUUGAUACUGCAAGACUUGAAUUAUUAGGAAGUAACUAGAAUAUGUAGUGUAGCGGUGAAAUGCUUAGAUAUCGUUUGGAACGCCAAAGGUGAAAACAGGUUGCUGGGGUUGUGCCGACGCUGAGACACGAAAGCCAGGGGAGCAAACGGG
rnacentral:rRNA from 1 species